AUGGUAAAGAGUGGUGGCUGUGGUAGUGGAUGUGGUAGUGGUAGUGGCGGUUGUGGCGGUGGAUGUGGAAGCAUGUUCAAGAGUGAUGGCAAAGCGCCUGGAGAUACAGUGGAGAGUGGCGGUUGUAGUGGGGGAUGUGGAAGUAUGGUAAAGAGUGGUGGCUGUGGGCUUCCCCCAUAGAUUCAUCCAUCUAUGCGAAUGAAGCAAUAGUCGCUUGAUCACUAUGAAUUUAUAAGUGUCUGCGAGGAGCAUUCUUAAUAAAGUUCAUUAAAAAAUGGAAACUCUUAAAUUCAAUAAAAAAAAAAAUCAUGAUCGUGAAGUGUCAUGAAGAAAUAAGGUUGUCUUCAUUAUUGCCAAGUACAGUGGUAUAUAUCUCUACAUAUGGU
rnacentral:misc_RNA from 1 species